AUGUGGCAGGGGCGAUUCUAGGGUCAGGGCUUUACGGGGUGCUUUAAUGUCAAACUCUGUGUCACAGAUCUGCCCAUUUGGUUGAGAAAAUAAAUAAAUUGCGUUUCAAUAGGAAGAGGAAGUGAGAUCAAUAAGUGCAAAACAAACUUAAAGAUAUAGGUCAAUUGGCAACCCAGUCUAAGAGACAAUAUUAUUCUAUCCUUUGUCUCUCUUUUUAAACCGAACAGACCCUGCAGCACCCCACCCCCCAUGUUUAAACCUUAUACUUAGUACUACUGUAUUGCGCUAAUGUUUUUGGUCAUCUUAUUAUAGACAAACCCUUAAAAUGUACCUAAAAUGGGCUAGAACCGCCUAUGAUAUUUUGAUAUUUGAUGUUGUAAUACAUUCAUUUAAUAAUUAUUUGUGUAAUUUACAGUCAUGAUUAAUUAAUAUUGUUUAUUUUAUUGACAGCGGGUUCUGGGAAGAGACAGAGGCCGGAGAAUGGGAGUGGGUGUGUUGUUGCUGUUGUGCAUGGCUCCUUACUAAAAGUUAUGAGAAAGACAUCCAAGUUACUAAAAUUAAAGAUUUAAGAAGUUUAUUUUUCAUCAUUUCCACCUGGCUUGCUGCUAGGGUGUCGCCAUUUUGAAGUGACGUAACUGAAUACGUCACAGGGUUGAUUGGAUCCCUCUGAACGCAGUUGGAAAUGGACAAGGAAUCCUAUAUAUCCAAUAUAAAUCUUAUUUGAUAUGCUUUUGAACCAAUACGGCGUUUAAACUGAGCAAUGGUACCACUAAGAGUGGAAAAAGAGGCGAAACUUGGUAAGCUACAGGGUGUCAGUGUAGCCGUUGUUCACUGAUGCCACUGUUUCAGAAUCCGUCUGCUGGGCCAUUUAAUCCGCCGCCUGUCCUGUAUCACCACGGUGCGUACUUUCCACAUUAUAUGCCAGGAGGUGGACGUGUUGGAAGUGGCAGUGCUUUCGCUGAAAGAUGUCCGAGAGGAAACUCUGCAACGCCCCAUUUGUAGCAGGCCUAGAUCAGGUGAUUUCCAGGCUGUCUGGUGGUCAAACGAAGGACCCAUCGUGACCAAAUGGUGGCACUGCAGGCUCACAAAUGCAGACCGUCGUUCCCAUGACCAGGCUGUCGGACUGAUUCCAAUCCAAGGUUCAGAUGGAAACCAAUGUCUGAUGACACAUCUGAGGUACUCUAAAACGACCCGGAGAGAAAGGCAGAGCAAUAGAAGUGUAAAAAAAAAAAAAGAAGAAGAAGAAGAAGAAGGACGAGAUGGGUGUGUAUGUCUGCGAGCUUCCCUCUUGUGUGCUCGCCGGGCGUCCGCGUGCGUGCGCGCGCGCACUUGUGUUUGCAGACGACACACCAUCUGAAGAUGGUGCAGAUGUCCACGCCGUGGCUGGCCUUGCACGCUGUUCGGCAUGCCUCAAAAAGGAGGGAUUUUCCUUCUUUGUUUCAAAUUUCACAGGCGCUCCAAAUGGGCACAGACAUGCCUCCAAAAUAAAUAAAUAAGUGGAUGUAUCAGUGGCCAACAUCUGCAGAUUAUGAUUAGCAUUUGGAAAUUGCGUCCUUGAAUGAGAUUUGGAUGUCGACUGUCAGUCUUCCUUUAUGAGUGCGACUCCUAUUCUGGGGAACUAGAGGGUACUGCUUUGUCCUUAAAUUGGCUACAAUUUGGAGGGAGAAAGAAAUCCUCUUCUCUCUCUUCCCCUCUGCCCGUUAUGAUGUGCCGUCUGAACAAGAAAGAGACACUAUUAAUUGUGUUGAAUAUGAAUAGCUGCAUUUGGUUAAACAGUUUCAAAGGAAAUUGGCCCAAAGGAACUUCUUUCCCUCUUCUUCCCCCUACUGCCUGUCCCUGCUUUUUCUUCUCCCUUUAUCAAGAUUUUUUUUUUUUUCCCUCUCCCUUCCCUCUCUAAUUUUACACUGAGCGCGCUGGCUGCUUUAGCGCGGCUGCAUUAUCUUAUGUAUUCAGCUUUCAGCUCCUCUCCCUCUCCCGAUGAGGCGAGGCUUAAUUGGGCUCCGGCUUUAAAGUCUGUAGAGCUCUCCACUUGCUCAUAGAAACACAUUCAGGGGCUGCUCAUUCA